GGCACUUUAGCUCAGUGGUAAAGAGCACACUCAAAUAAUGAGUAUUAAGAGGUCCCAGGUUCGAGUCCUGGAAGAGCCA